AAACCUCAGCCUCUCACGGUAGCUGCUCUCUUCAUUUGGAUGCUGGGAGGUUGUUGCUGCUGUUGUUGUUGUUAUUUCUGUUGAUAUUUCUGUUGUUGUUUUUGUUGUUGUUGCUGUUGUUGUUAUUUCUGUUGUUGUUUUUGUUGUUGUUGCUGUUGUUGUUAUUUCUGUUGUUGUUUUUGUUGUUGCUGCUGUUUGUUGCUGUUGUUAUUUCUGUUGUUGUUGUUGUUGCUGCUGUUGUUUAGACAGGCCCUCACUAUGUAACCCUCCCUGGAGCAAACCUUGCUAUGUAAACCAAACCAGCUUUGAACUCAAAGAGAUGUAACUUCCUCAAAAGCGCUGGGUCUAAAGCCCUGUACUCUUUCUGCGUUUAGAGCAUAUGGCUGUUUUCUUAGGCCUUGCGUCAUGGCUGUGUGCAACAUACUAUGUAUGUCACCCUGAGUAAACCAACCAUUGGAUCACUGAAAGCACAGCGAAAGAUUCACGGGAAGAAACAGUGCAUUGUAAAAUGCCACAAAUUUCAAAACUCAAGCAAAGCACAGGGAAGAGUCAAGCUCCCAGUAAAAGACGAAAAAAUUAAAAAUAAAAA
rnacentral:lncRNA from 1 species